rnacentral:rRNA from 1 species
UGGGGAAUUUUGGACAAUGGGCGAAAGCCUGAUCCAGCAAUGCCGCGUGAGUGAAGAAGGCCUUCGGGUUGUAAAGCUCUUUUGUCAGGGAAGAAACGGUGAGGGCUAAUAUCCCUUGCUAAUGACGGUACCUGAAGAAUAAGCACCGGCUAACUACGUGCCAGCAGCCGCGGUAAUACGUAGGGUGCAAGCGUUAAUCGGAAUUACUGGGCGUAAAGCGUGCGCAGGCGGUUUUGUAAGUCAGAUGUGAAAUCCCCGGGCUCAACCUGGGACCUGCAUUUGUGACUGUAUAGCUAGAGUACGGUAGAGGGGGAUGGAAUUCCGCGUGUAGCAGUGAAAUGCGUAGAUAUGCGGAGGAACACCGAUGGCGAAGGCAAUCCCCUGGACCUGUACUGACGCUCAUGCACGAAAGCGUGGGGAGCAAACA